GGCGCACGGGUGAGUAACACGUAUCCAACCUGCCCUUUACUCGGGGAUAGCCUUUCGAAAGAAAGAUUAAUACCCGAUAGCAUAAUGAUUCCGCAUGGUUUCAUUAUUAAAGGAUUCCGGUAAAGGAUGGGGAUGCGUUCCAUUAGGUUGUUGGUGGGGUAACGGCCCACCAAGCCUUCGAUGGAUAGGGGUUCUGAGAGGAAGGUCCCCCACAUUGGAACUGAGACACGGUCCAAACUCCUACGGGAGGCAGCAGUGAGGAAUAUUGGUCAAUGGGCGCUAGCCUGAACCAGCCAAGUAGCGUGAAGGAUGAAGGCUCUAUGGGUCGUAAACUUCUUUUAUAUAAGAAUAAAGUGCAGUAUGUAUACUGUUUUGUAUGUAUUAUAUGAAUAAGGAUCGGCUAACUCCGUGCCAGCAGCCGCGGUAAUACGGAGGAUCCGAGCGUUAUCCGGAUUUAUUGGGUUUAAAGGGAGCGUAGGUGGACUGGUAAGUCAGUUGUGAAAGUUUGCGGCUCAACCGUAAAAUUGCAGUUGAUACUGUCAGUCUUGAGUACAGUAGAGGUGGGCGGAAUUCGUGGUGUAGCGGUGAAAUGCUUAGAUAUCACGAAGAACUCCGAUUGCGAAGGCAGCUCACUGGACUGCAACUGACACUGAUGCUCGAAAGUGUGGGUAUCAAACAGGAUUAGAUACCCUGGUAGUCCACACAGUAAACGAUGAAUACUCGCUGUUUGCGAUAUACAGUAAGCGGCCAAGCGAAAGCAUUAAGUAUUCCACCUGGGGA
rnacentral:rRNA from 1 species